UUGAUUUUAGUUAUUUGUGAACGUACUACGAACAGACAAAAAAUAUUAUAGUCAAAAAAAAAUUAAAUC
rnacentral:misc_RNA from 1 species